GACCACAGAGUGGUUAGAGCUCACUCCAGUACAAAUGGAGAGGUCCCAGGUUCGAUUCCUGGUAGAGCCA